GGGGACAACAUCCCGAAAGGGUAGCUAAUACCGAAUACGAUCGUAUUCCCGCAUGGGAUUGCGAUGAAGAUGGCCUCUAUUUAUAAGCUAUCACUGAAGGAUGAGCCUGCGUCUGAUUAGCUAGUUGGUGGGGUAACGGCCUACCAAGGCGAUGAUCAGUAGCCGGUCUGAGAGGAUGAACGGCCACAUUGGGACUGAGACACGGCCCAAACUCCUACGGGAGGCAGCAGUGGGGAAUAUUCCGCAAUGGACGAAAGUCUGACGGAGCAACGCCGCGUGAGUGAUGGGAAGGUUUUCGGACUGUAAAGCUCUGUUGUUUAGGACGAAAGUGCCUGUUGCGAACAGUUACAGGUAUUGACGGUACUGAACGAGGAAGCCACGGCUAACUACGUGCCAGCAGCUGC
rnacentral:rRNA from 1 species